rnacentral:lncRNA from 10 species
AGAGGUUGCUAAGCAAUGACGAUAAUCAUAUAGAACCCAGAAGCAUCACUGUGAAGACUUCACAAUGCAAGGUCAGACGCAUUAGAAGGGAUUCCAGACCGCAAUCUUCAUACCAGUUCCUGCUACUAGCAUUCAGUUUUGGUUUCGCCCUGUUGCCAUGCUGGCCCUGAACUCCAAGGCUCAAGGAAUCCCAACCCCUCUCCGCCUCCACCUCCCAAAGAAGUGCUGAGAUUACAGGUGUGAGCCACCACGACCGGCCUACACUGAGCUUUAAAUUAGCUACUGCUCACUAAAGUCUCCAUGAAGAAGACGUCACCCUUUGCUGUGUCAGAGAAAUGUAGUAAAAGCGAGUAAGUAUUUAAUCACUGCACACUGCUGCUUGAGUAAUAAAGCAUG